rnacentral:rRNA from 1 species
UUCGAAUAGGUUCGGUAUCAUAGACCGGUAGCUUACCAGAAUAGCCAGGGCCCAGUACAUUCCAGCAGUUGGGUUAUUUCGUAGGGUGGCUAGCGUUGUCGGGUAUUAUUGGGCGUAAAGCGCGCGCUGGCGGGUUUGUUAACUCUGAUGUGAUAGCCCUCGGCUCUUACCGGGGGAGGGUCAUUGGAGACUGGGGAACUUGAGUGCAGAAGAGGAGAGUGGACUUACACGUGUAGCGGUGAAAUGGUUUAGAUGUGGCGGAACACCAGUGGCGAAGGCGACUCUCUGGUCUGUAACCGACGGUGAGUCCCGAUGGUUUGUGGGGGGACAGGUUUACAUAUCUCGGUGGUCCACCCCGUAAACGCCGAGUGCUAAGUGUUAGAGGGUUUCGCCCUUUAGUGCUGCAGCUAACGCCUUAAACACUCGGCCUGGGGAGUACGGUCGCAAGACUGAAAGUCAAAGGAAUGGACGGGGGCCCGCACAAGCGGUGGAGCAUGUGGUUUGUUUCGCACCAACUCGAAGGACCUUACCAGGUCUUGACAUCCUAUGACAACCAUUCAGAUACGUUUUCCCCUUCGGGGGCAGAGUGACAGGUGGUGCAUUCCCUUGUCAAGAUUUCCUUGAGAUGUUGGGUUAAGUCCCGCAACGAGCUCAACCUUCCUGUUAGCCCCAGCAUUCAGUUGGGCACUCUAAGGUGACUGCCGGUGACAAACCGGAGGAAGGUGGGGAUGAAGUCAAAUCAUCAUCCCCUUAUAACGGGGCUACACACCUCCUUCAAUGGGCAGACCAAAGGGCAGCGAAGCGGUGAGGGUAAACCAAUCCCACACAUGAUUAUCAGUUUGGAUCGCAGUGGCAACUCGAGUGUGGAGCGGAUUGCUAGACUCGAGUUAGCCUUCGCCGCCCCCGCCU